rnacentral:lncRNA from 1 species
GUAGUAUUUCUACCGUAGAUCUAGUAGUAUUUCUACUGUAGAUCUAGUAGUAUUUCUACCGUAGAUCUAGUAGUAUUUCUACCGUAGAUAUAGUAGUAUUUCUACCGUAGAUCUAGUAGUAUUUCUACCGUAGAUCUAGUAGUAUUUCUACUGUAGAUAUAGUAGUAUUUCUACCGUAGAUCUAGUAGUAUUUCUACCGUAGAUCUAGUAGUAUUUCUACCGUAGAUCUAGUAGUAUUUCUACCGUAGAUAUAGUAGUAUUUCUACCGUAGAUCUAGUAGUAUUUCUACCGUAGAUAUAGUAGUAUUUCUACCGUAGAUCUAGUAGUAUUUCUACCGUAGAUCUAGUAGUAUUUCUACCGUAGAUCUAGUAGUAUUUCUACCGUAGAUCUAGUAGUAUUUCUACCGUAGAUCUAGUAUUUAUCAGCAGUUCUUAAUCAGUUUGAUGAUGGGAAUAUUGGUAUUAUUGUUAAAGUGGUUUAGUUUUUCUGAUGGCUACCAAACCUUGAUUUGUUUAUUUUUUGGGGCUCCAGGAUGUUUUAGCUGAGUUGACUUCCUGUGUGAUUGGGUGUUCAUGUUCUAUUACAUAACAGGGUUUAUUAUUAAAGCCUAAUCAUCAAUCUGAUUAUUCUGAGGUUACGUCCCUAAUUACACCCAAUUCCCUGUAUAGUGCCCUCGGCCCUGGUCAAAAGUAGUGCACUAUAUAGGGAAUAGGGUGCCAUUUGGCUGGUGUAAAGUAGUGCACUAUAUAGGGAAUAGGGUGCCAUUUGGCAGGUGUAAAGUAGUGUACUAUAUAGGGAAUAGGGUGCCAUUUGGCAGGUGUAAAGUAGUGUACUAUAUAGGGAAUAGGGUGCCAUUUGGCAGGUGUAAAGUAGUGCACUAUAUAGGGAAUAGGGUGCCAUUUGGGAAUCAUCUUUACGUUCAUUGUGCACAAGGGGUUAAGUGCCUGUGGUAAGGAACAGCAGAGUUUGUGAAGACAGUGCCACUCCUACAGAGGCAGGUAUUGAACUAAAACAACCCAGUUAAUCACUUUAAUAACUUUGUUGAUAGAUGAUGACUAUGUUCAGAGUAACUUUUAUUCACCACGUGAUGGUACUGUAUGUCUGUACUACUGUCUUGUCUCAGCUGUGUGUUGUGAACAACUAGGACUAAAUAAUCCGAAUGUUUCAAGAAAACACUACAGAACAUGGAUGUGUCAUUUAAAAUGGAUAGUUUGAUGUGCUACUUAGAUGAUUUUUGGUCAUUUUGGAGCUUGUUGACUUCAACACCAGUUUUUUUUUGGGUCACUGGUUUGAGACAGUGGACACUGGAAGACAUUAUGGCCCACAAACCCCUUCAGGUUGAUCGUCUGUGAAAGCUGUAGUGGACUGAACCAAUUGUCUGUCUAUGCUUUAAACUCUAGCCUGCUAACUCUGCUUUCUACUCUCUGGGUUCUAGUCCCAGACUCUGUUCUCUUGGU